rnacentral:rRNA from 1 species
GUGGGGUAAUGGCCUACCAAGGCUUUGACGGGUAGCCGGCCUGAGAGGGUGACCGGUCACACUGGGACUGAGACACGGCCCAGACUCCUACGGGAGGCAGCAGUGGGGAAUAUUGGACAAUGGGCGGAAGCCUGAUCCAGCAACGCCGCGUGAGGGAUGACGGCCUUCGGGUUGUAAACCUCUUUCAGUACCGACGAAGGGAAACUGACGGUAGGUACAGAAGAAGCACCGGCCAACUACGUGCCAGCAGCCGCGGUAAUACGUAGGGUGCGAGCGUUGUCCGGAAUUAUUGGGCGUAAAGGGCUCGUAGGCGGUUUGUCGCGUCGGGAGUGAAAACAUCCAGCUUAACUGGGUGCUUGCUUUCGAUACGGGCAGACUUGAGGUAUGCAGGGGAGACUGGAAUUCCUGGUGUAGCGGUGAAAUGCGCAGAUAUCAGGAGGAACACCGGUGGCGAAGGCGGUUCUCUGGGCAUUACCUGACGCUGAGGAGCGAAAGUGUGGGGAGCAAACAGGAUUAGAUACCCUGGUAGUCCACACCGUAAACGUUGGGCGCUAGGUGUGGGACCUAUUCCAUGGGUUCCGUGCCGUAGCUAACGCAUUAAGCG